rnacentral:lncRNA from 1 species
GGUUACAUCUAGCAAGUCCUCCCAGGGGUGAGCUCAAUUUUCUCCUGAUUUGCUCUCUCAUUUGUUUUUUAUUGAUUCAUCUAUGCACAUUUAAUGAUCUAUGGUGUGCCUUCAAUGCGAUUGGUGGAGGCAGUGACAUGAAGGAGAUUGUCAUGCUGCCAAAGCACAUCAAGGACAAUGCAAACAAGGACAGAGGAAGAUCGAACAUGCCAUUUCCAGGUGGUGACAUUUCUAUUCUCGCGCGCCCACCCAACAUUUUUGCUUUUACUAAAUGACUAUGUGCGUGAAUGCUUCGUGGAUGUUGAUAGGGAUUAUCUGUGCUUGACAAAACGGUAUCCCAGACUUGCAAUUACUCCAGAAUUUUCUAAGGUUGGGCAUUCUGUACAUUGAACUUUUGUUGCUGAUCGAUAUUAAAUGUGGCUUUUGGCAUUCUCUAUCACUCUAGCUAGGUCCUUGGAUGAGCCACACUAUUGACAUGGGUUUAGGUGAGUGACUCAUCGCGGCGCCUUUAUAUGGCUCGAUCAAUUCCAAAUUUGCUAUAGUAUGGUUGUCGCUAGAAUUUCCUCAUUUGGCAUGCAAUAAUUACAAUUGAUUUGCCUGGUACUCUGAUCAAAAUGGGAAAGUUGAGUGCUUACAUAUGUCGAUCCACAAUAUUUCUUUAUUGUCAAGGGCAGAGUUAAAGUGAAUUGUGUGGAUUCACACCAACUGCACCAUUGGAUCUCUUCUGGGUCGUUUCAUUUCAAAAAAUCCUGGCCAUAUCCCCCUCUAUCUCUGGUAAACAUAGAUUGAGGACUAGAUAGAUCAGGAUAAACAAGGCGUGUUAAUUGUUGACAAAUAUAAUAAAAGUAAAAUCACAGUAAUGACGAGUUGUUGGGGACUUGUUCUCAAAUGCUAUGAAUCAAGAACAAGGCAACAUAAAAUGUUAAAUAAUAAUGUCCUUCGCCCGCUGAAGCAUUAUCUCCCCAAGGAUCUAAUGAACUUCGGACGAAGGCUACGAGCAGGAUACCACGAAGGUCAUACCUUCAUGAUCAAAUAUAAAACAAUCCGAGAUA